rnacentral:lncRNA from 1 species
AUCUUCCCAUUGUAUGUCACUCUAAAGGUAAAACAGUUGUAUUGAGCAUGCAGCCAUCGUUAAACAUUGUUACAUUUCGAUGCUACAUUUCGGUUAGUAUGCUUUAAAAUGUUAAUACGCAUGGUAAAGACAAUGUGGUUCACUCUUACCUCUUUUUUUUUUUUUUUUUGGUCAAACCUGAAAUUUUUCGUUCAACCAAAAGUACCAACAUUACAAAACCUGCCAGUCUUUUUGGAUUCAGGCUGGCCACUCAAAUCUCUUUGUAGAUAAAAACCUGCUGACAAUAUAUCUAAAUCUUGGAUACAUAUUCAACUGUUGUAGCUUUGGCCCCCAUUUGGAAUGUUGUUGUCAUGCAAUGUGGAGCUCCAAUGCAAUAUCAUGAAGCAUCUGGGAUUUAGCAUUCCGUUCAGCCCAAUCCGAUAAACAGCAGCAGCAUAACAAAAGCCCAGAAGUCCUCAGAGGGGUCUGCUGUCGCUGAUCCUCUUGAUGAGCCAUGCUACUUUCUG